rnacentral:misc_RNA from 1 species
AAGUCGUAACAAGGUUUCCGUAGGUGAACCUGCGGAAGGAUCAUCAGUGUAUCUGGUUAUCUCACCCUUUGUGCCGUGUCCUUGCGGUGGGUUCGCCGCAUGUUUUUUAUAAUUAUUGCAUUUGCAACGCCUGAGCCUGAUCUGUCGAUUUUAAGAACACACACACAACUUUUAACAACGGAUCUCUUGGUUCUC